GCCAUAUUAACAAUUAUCUUGAUGAAUUCAGAAGUCCCACAGGGACUUACAAAGCCAUUUUUAAAUUGUUUGAUAUUUCAGACACAAUCAGUUUUAUUUUUAUUAUUUAUUACUAUUAUUUUUAUUGUUAGUUUUUUAGUUAUACCUUCUGGGAUGGGAGACAGUUUUAAAAGUUAACAAUUGUCUUGGAUGUUGCUGUUUUUAACUCAGUAAGUACAUCUGUUCUGCCAGUGCUGCCCUGAGCACUGGAACUGGGAGAGCAGGUAGCAAGCUAGCACUGGACACAGCAUAAACAGCGACAUAUUUCUCUUCCCCUUCAAACUGGCUGGCCCUGUAACCAAUAAAAUGUGGCCCAUGUGACACUGGGUGACUUCUGAGGCUAGCCCUCCAGAGAUCUAGCUUAUGUGGUCCUUUAUUUGGGAAUGCUCCUUCUCGUAAUCCAUCUGCCAUGCUAUGAGGAAGUCCAAGCAGCCAUAUGGAGAGCCGCAGGUGCAGGAGAACUAAGGCCCCAGCUAGGAGCCUGCACCGCAUUGCUGGCUGAGCAAGUCAGGCCAGUUUGGACUUUUCAGCCAUUCCAGGGCUCCAUCCAAUACCAUCUAAAGCAGAACUGGCUGGUCAAUCCAUAGAAGGAAGGGGGAAAAACAGUUGUCUGGGGCAAAUAGUUGUUGCUAAGUUUGGGGACAAUUUGUUAUAAAGCAGGCCGUCCACCGUGCCCGGCCUCCAUUUCCCUUUUUGUUAUUACUUUCAGGAGUGUGAGAAGGCAGGGAUAGCAUUAGGAGAAAUUUCUAAUGUAGAUGACAAGUUGAUGGGUGCAGCAAACCACCAUGGCAUGUGUAUACCUAUGUAACAAACCUGCACGUUCUGCACAUGUACCCCAGAACUUAAAGUAUAAUAAUACUAAUGAAAAAUACAGUGUGAGAAAUUUCUCCCAUCUAGGACUCUCCAUCCCAUUCUCCCAGACGGCCCAUUACUGGUUCAAACGCACCAAUAAGGAUUUCUGUUUGGGAGGGAUCUGGGUGCAUGGUCUGACUUUUGAGGGAAGGCUGGCUUGCAAGGGCCAGUUGAGUGCGUGCUCAGCACCAAGCCAACACGCAGGCCCAGGCUCCUGCUGUUUGGAGGUCUAGCUGGACUCAAGGAACUACACAACUCUGUCAGCCACAUCCUCCAGCCUGAAGGUCUUCACUGCACCCCAGCAUGGAGACAUC
rnacentral:lncRNA from 10 species